rnacentral:rRNA from 1 species
UACGUAGGGGGCAAGCGUUGUCCGGAAUCACUGGGCGUAAAGCGCGCGCAGGCGGCUAUCUACGUCCGGGGUGAAAGCCCAGAGCUCAACUCUGGGAUUGCCUUGGAUACGGGAUGGCUUGAGGAUCGGAGAGGCAAGGGGAAUUCCACGUGUAGCGGUGAAAUGCGUAGAGAUGUGGAGGAACACCUGUGGCGAAGGCGCCUUGCUGGCCGAUUUCUGACGCUGAGGCGCGAAAGCUGGGGGAGCAAACGGG